UCAUUAUUGUUAUUAUCAUCAACAACAUCGUCGUCGUCGUCGCGUUCAUUCAUCGCGAGUUCAAGACGGCCGGCAGCUACACCGGUAUUUGUCGCACUCGAGUGCAUCCCCCCCCUCUCCUCCAACCCCUCGGCCAGGACGGGACACCACCAGGACUUCGUGCGAAGAGACGAACCGGUGUGGCGGCGGUGGAGUAAACGCGUCUACCGGGGACGCGUCAUUUCACGGCUAUUUAACCCCGAACGGCAUACCGAACACGACGACGACACCGGACAAUAUGCAUAGAGGCUGUCACGAGCAAGAUGGACUCAGACGUGAACACAGUACUACUACAACACCCGUUACAUUACGGCAUAACCAUUAAGUCCGUAAUCUCGAAAGUCGAAAGGCCGUGCAUGUACGUCCAUUUUGUACUGAUGGAUAUAGACGUUCAACACGCGGUUGUCGACGACUUGGUGGUUAAAACUGGAUGAUAGUGGCCGUCUUUGGCUACUGGCUUAUAUUUUUUUUAAAUAUAAUUUUGAUUUCAGAGUAUAACUGCUCGAACUUUGUUAUUUAUAUAUUUUAAAUAAUGUAUGUGUAAAUAAAACUUGAUUUUAUUUUGA